rnacentral:rRNA from 1 species
CGCCUCUUGAUAAGAGGUCCAGCCUGCCCAGUGACGUUCAACGGCCGCGGUAUUCUAACCGUGCAAAGGUAGCGUAAUCACUUGUUUUCUAAAUAAAGACCAGUAUGAAAGGCACCACGAGGAUUAAGCUGUCUCCUUUUUCCAAUCAGUGAACCUAAUCUCCCCGUGAAGAAGCGAGGAUUGAAAUAUAAGACGAGAAGACCCUGUGGAGCUUAAAACACUAUAACACUUGAACCUGAUUAUAUGUUUUUGGUUGGGGUGACCGCGGAGAAAAACCCAUCCUCCACAAUGAAAAGCAAUAAACUACAACUUUAUGCAUCAAUAAAUUGACACAUGACCCAAUAAUUGAUCAAUGAACCAAGUUACCCCAGGGAUAACAGCACAAUCCACUUUGAGAGCUCCUAUCGACAAGUGGGCUUAUGACCUCGAUGUUGGAUCGAGGUAUCCUAGUGGUGCAGCCGCUACUAAAGGUUCGUUUGUUCAACGAUUAAAACCU